rnacentral:rRNA from 1 species
GAUGAACGCUGACAGAAUGCUUAACACAUGCAAGUCUACUUGAACUUCGGUUUGGGUGGCGGUCGGGUGAGUAACGCGUAAAGAACUUGCCUCACAGUUAGGGACAACAUUUGGAAACGAAUGCUAAUACCUGAUAUUAUGAUUUUAGGGCAUCCUAGGAUUAUGAAAGCUAUAUGUGCUGUGAGAGAGCUUUGCGUCCCAUUAGCUAGUUGGAGAGGUAACGGCUCACCAAGGCGAUGAUGGGUAGCCGGCCUGAGAGGGUGAACGGCCACACGGGGACUGAGACACGGCCCGUACGCAUACGGGAGGCAGCAGUGGGGAAUAUUGGAAAAUAGACCAAAAGUCUGAUCAAGCAAUUCUGUGUGCACGAUGCCGUUUUUCGGAAUGAAAAGUGGUUUAAGUUGGGAAGAAAAAAAUGACGGUACCAACAGAAGAAGUGACGGCUAAAUACGUG